UACAGAGGGUGCAAGCGUUAAUCGGAAUUACUGGGCGUAAAGCGUGCGUAGACGGUUAUUUAAGUCGGGUGUGAAAGCCCCCGGGCUCAACCUGGGAAUUGCAUUCGAGACUGAAUAGCUAGGGUGCGGAAGAGGGAAGCGGAAUUUCCGGUGUAGCGGUGAAAUGCGUAGAUAUCGGAAGGAACACCAGUGGCGAAAGCGGCUUCCUGGUCCAGCACCGACGUUCAGGUACGAAAGCGUGGGGGAGCAAACAGG
rnacentral:rRNA from 1 species